rnacentral:snoRNA from 1 species
AAGCAAGACUCAGACUACAAUACAGCUGUUAAGUGCUGUGUUGUCAUUCCCCCGCUCAAAUUAAAGUUGUUUCUUCACUAUACCCAUCUGCCAUUCUGGAGCAGCCAGGGAUGCUUGGUUACAUACAC